AUGACUGCAGGAAGGUGUCAAAGUGGCCGCUCCGUCCUUGGGCCUUCACCGCCCCGUUGUGACCAGGCAGCCGCGAGUCCUGUUGAUUUAAAUACAACGUGGGGCUUGGCUGACAGUCCAGCAUGUGUUUCACAUCCUCCAAGCACGGCUUUAAAAGAGCCCAAAUGUGGCUGCUGCAGCAGAGCGCCGAGGCCUUUCCGGCGGCCUGGGCCCGGCUGUGGGUGGCCUGGUUGGGUGUGCAGCUCUGUGAGGGCAUCCCCCCGGCCAGGGCUCACCUGUGCCACCCCUCAGGGCUCGGGGAAACGGGGAAUGACCUGCUCUGACUGCCAGGAGGGUCGGGAUGAGCCGUCCCGGAGUGCUGGCGGUGCCGUGAGGGCGUCCCUUCGCAUAGAAACCUACCACAGGAGCUAGAGCUUCAUGAUUUCUAUCAAAAGGUUCUGGCUUUGGUACUAAAGCAAGCAGGCAGCAUUCUUUCACUCAGGCCUUUGGGAUAUGUACUGUGGAAAACAGUUCUUCUGAUACAGAAG
rnacentral:lncRNA from 1 species